CCUACGGGUGGCAGCAGUGGGGAAUAUUGCACAAUGGGGGAAACCCUGAUGCAGCGACGCCGCGUGAGUGAAGAAGUAUCUCGGUACGUAAAGCUCUAUCAGCAGGGAAGAAAAUGACGGUACCUGACUAAGAAGCCCCGGCUAACUACGUGCCAGCAGCCGCGGUAAUACGUAGGGGGCAAGCGUUAUCCGGAUUUACUGGGUGUAAAGGGAGCGUAGACGGCAGCACAAGGCUGGAGUGAAAUCCCGGGGCUUAACCCCGGAACUGCUUUGGAAACUGGGCGGCUGGAGUGCAGGAGGGGUAAGCGGAAUUCCUAGUGUAGCGGUGAAAUUCGUAGAUAUUGGGUAGAACACCAGUGGCGAAGGCGACUAUCUGGCUGUACAUUGACGCUGAGGCUCGAAAGCAUGGGGAUCAAACAGGAUUAGAUACCCCUGUAGUC
rnacentral:rRNA from 1 species